rnacentral:rRNA from 1 species
AUUAAACGCUGGCGGCAUGCCUUACACAUGCAAGUCGAACGGCAGCACGGGGGCAACCCUGGUGGCGAGUGGCGAACGGGUGAGUAAAGCAUCGGAACGUGCCCUGGAGUGGGGGAUAACGUAGCGAAAGUUACGCUAAUACCGCAUAUUCUGUGAGCAGGAAAGCAGGGGAUCGCAAGACCUUGCGCUUUGGGAGCGGCCGAUGUCGGAUUAGCUAGUUGGUGGGGUAAAGGCCUACCAAGGCGACGAUCCGUAGCGGGUCUGAGAGGAUGAUCCGCCACACUGGGACUGAGACACGGCCCAGACUCCUACGGGAGGCAGCAGUGGGGAAUUUUGGACAAUGGGCGCAAGCCUGAUCCAGCCAUGCCGCGUGAGUGAAGAAGGCCU